rnacentral:lncRNA from 1 species
GAAAUCUGAAUUCUUUUCAGAAAAAAAAAAAUUGCCUGCAUAAUAUGAAAUUAGCUAAAGCCCUGCAUAAUCUGAAAUUAGUUAAUGCCCUACAUAUGGUUUGCACCUCCACAUGGCAUAAUAUGAAAUCAUAAUUUAAUAUUAGAUUUAUUAUUUUCUUCCAACCCAUCUGAACACCAAUAUUACAACGAUUUCUUUAUCGAAACAAGUCUUAUAACAAAUCAUACACAUCAGACACCAUUACAAGUUCCAAAGUUCCUUUUGAAGAGGAUCACAAAAGAUUAUUGGGCAUUUCAUGUGUGCUUUCAUGUGGCCAGAUGGUCUGCAACCUGGUUAAGAACAAUUAAAUUGGUAUUUUUAGAACAACUUCCGUAAUUCUAAAAUUCUGAAACAGUCAAAGGAAAAAGAUUAAGUGCUAACACUAAUGCAAACACAGGCAAAUCAGUUUUGCCAACUGAACUGAUGUCUGAUAGAAAAAGAUUAAGUCCUAACACUAAUGCAAACACAGGCAAAUCAGUUUGAUCAUGCUAUCACACAUAAAGCAGGCUUGAAAAAAAGAAGAAAAGGAGAUAAACAAAUUCAAAGAAUACCUUACGAGUGAUUGGAAGCAAUGUCAAAAGCUCAAA